rnacentral:rRNA from 1 species
AAAUACCAAGGCGCUUGAGAGAACUCGGGUGAAGGAACUAGGCAGAAUGGCACCGUAACUUCGGGAGAAGGUGCGCCGGUGAGGGUGAAGCAUUUACUGCGUAAGCCCACGCCGGUCGAAGAUACCAGGCCGCUGCGACUGUUUAUUAAAAACACAGCACUCUGCAAACACGAAAGUGGACGUAUAGGGUGUGACGCCUGCCCGGUGCCGGAAGGUUAAUUGAUGGGGUUAGCUAACGCGAAGCUCUUGAUCGAAGCCCCGGUAAACGGCGGCCGUAACGAUAACGGUCCUAAGGUAGCGAAAUUCCUUGUCGGGUAAGUUCCGACCUGCACGAAUGGCGUAACGAUGGCGGCGCUGUCUCCACCCGAGACUCAGUGAAAUUGAAAUCGCUGUGAAGAUGCAGUGUAUCCGCGGCUAGACGGAAAGACCCCGUGAACCUUUACUAUAGCUUUGCACUGGACUUUGAAUUUGCUUGUGUAGGAUAGGUGGGAGGCUUUGAAGCGUGGACGCCAGUCUGCGUGGAGCCAACCUUGAAAUACCACCCUGGCAACUUUGAGGUUCUAACUCAGGUCCGUUAUCCGGAUCGAGGACAGUGUAUGGUGGGUAGUUUGACUGGGGCGGUCUCCUCCUAAAGAGUAACGGAGGAGUACGAAGGUGCGCUCAGACCGGUCGGAAAUCGGUCGUAGAGUAUAAAGGCAAAAGCGCGCUUGACUGCGAGACAGACACGUCGAGCAGGUACGAAAGUAGGUCUUAGUGAUCCGGUGGUUCUGUAUGGAAGGGCCAUCGCUCAACGGAUAAAAGGUACUCCGGGGAUAACAGGCUGAUACCGCCCAAGAGUUCAUAUCGACGGCGGUGUUUGGCACCUCGAUGUCGGCUCAUCACAUCCUGGGGCUGAAGCCGGUCCCAAGGGUAUGGCUGUUCGCCAUUUAAAGUGGUACGCGAGCUGGGUUUAGAACGUCGUGAGACAGUUCGGUCCCUAUCUGCCGUGGACGUUUGAGAUUCGAGAGGGGCUGCUCCUAGUACGAGAGGACCGGAGUGGACGAACCUCUGGUGUUCCGGUUGUCACGCCAGUGGCAUUGCCGGGUAGCUAUGUUCGGAACAGAUAACCGCUGAAAGCAUCUAAGCGGGAAACUAGCCUCAAGAUGAGAUCUCACUGGAACCUUGAGUUCCCUGAAGGGCCGUCGAAGACUACGACGUUGAUAGGUGGGGUGUGUAAGCGCUGUGAGGCGUUGAGCUAACCCAUACUAAUUGCCCGUGAGGCUUGACC